GCUUCCGCUAUCCGAACUGUCGCCGUAUGGUUGGCGUGCCUGGGUUCCGCCCAGGAUAGGACGCGGGAGCGCAU
rnacentral:sRNA from 12 species